CAAUAGCGUAUAUUAAAGUUGUUGCAGUUAAAAAGCUCGUAGUUGGAUUUGUGGCGUACGGUGUGUUCCGGGCACUUGUUGUCUGAGUAACCUGCUGUUGCCAUCCUUGGGUGGAACCUGUGUGGCAUUAGGUUGUCGUGCAGGGGAUGCCCAUCAUUUACUGUGAAAAAAUUAGAGUGUUCAAAGCAGGCUUAUGCCGUUGAAUAUAUUAGCAGGGAAUAAUGAGAUAGGACUUUUUUGCUAUUUUGUUGGUUUGCGCAAAGAGGUAAUGAUUAAUAGGGACAGUUGGGGGUAUUCGUAUUCCAUUGUCAGAGGUGAAAUUCUUGGAUUUUUGGAAGACGAACUACUGCGAAAGCAUUUACCAAGGAUGUUUUCAUUAA
rnacentral:rRNA from 1 species